rnacentral:lncRNA from 12 species
CUCACAUCUGCCUGGAGACACUUAGAUACACAAAACCAGAGGAAAGGAAGACACGCAGGCAGCACUGAAGCCCUCUGCCAUCACCAGCCAGUCAGGGGCACUGGACAAUACCACAUAUUCUCAAGCAGUUCAUCACAUUCACUUCUUUGUGAUGAGCUUCAAAGACAGAGUCUGGAAACCAGUAGGAGAACAAUUUCAGGGGUCUUCAGGAAUAAUGGUGAACUAAGACGUGUUGUGAUGGAAGAUUCGAGAGAGAUUCCUAAGGAGACCUGCCAGGAGACUCUAACAGAUGCAUGCAUUGACUUCCUGAGGAUGCGGUAUUAUUUGUUCAUUGUCAGCGAGUGGAGACUCAGUAUAAGCUCACACAUGACCCGUGGAAGAAGAAAAGUGAAGUGAGGCUAUGUGGAUGCAUGUGGAACCGGCUUUGAGUUAUCCAGGUGGCAAAGGAAAGUCUACUAGACAGUGCAUCCAUGGAUCCAGGUUCAAAGAAGGAAGGUUUAUCAGAGAUACAGGUUUGGCUGCCUUUCAGCAUCAUAGCUCCAGGACUGAAUUUUUCCUGGAGGAACAUCUACCUCGUAACAGAACAUAAAACCGUGAGAGGCUGAAUUCCAACGUGUGCUGUUAGGAGGAAGAGGGGAGCAUAAAUGGUACCAAAUCCAAAAGAAUAGAGGUAGAAGACGUGACAGGAGAUGAAUAUCAUGCCGCUAAGGCAUCGCGGUGCUUGAGGAGAAGUUGGUUAGAGGACAAGCAGGCUGUAGGAAGGUCAAGACAUGGAAUGCUCUUUAGAUUGGGAGGUCCUCGGGGAGCUCCCUUAGGAGAGAUUGCGUGGUGUGCCUGUGGGGCAAUCGGGAUCGCAGCCAAGCAUGUUUGAAGUACAGAGCAAAAUGCAAUCCCUGUGCCCCCUAUUCGAUUAUAUGGAUGUUGACCCUGUUGUGUGCUUAUAGCAUUAGCGAUAAACACACAUCACUGAGAUCGAAAAGGCUUUCUCAGAACAACCAGAAACUGUACAAUCAGAAAGCUUCACAGUAUGGCAAAUGACCAGGACAGCGUGGUAUCAAAAGACGUUUACUCAAAAUCACGUGGUGCCGAUUACUUACGGACCAUGUGCAAUUGAUUAGAGCUC